rnacentral:rRNA from 1 species
UGGGGAAUAUUGCACAAUGGGCGCAAGCCUGAUGCAGCCAUGCCGCGUGUGUGAAGAAGGCCUUCGGGUUGUAAAGCACUUUCAGCGAGGAGGAAGGGUAGUGUGUUAAUAGCACAUUGCAUUGACGUUACUCGCAGAAGAAGCACCGGCUAACUCCGUGCCAGCAGCCGCGGUAAUACGGAGGGUGCAAGCGUUAAUCGGAAUUACUGGGCGUAAAGCGCGCGCAGGUGGUUUGUUAAGUCAGAUGUGAAAUCUCCGCGCUUAACGUGGGAACUGCAUUUGAAACUGGCAAGCUAGAGUCUUGUAGAGGGGGGUAGAAUUCCAGGUGUAGCGGUGAAAUGCGUAGAGAUCUGGAGGAAUACCGGAGGAGAAGGCGGCCCCCGGGA